GUGCUCACUUCGGCAGCACAUAUACUAGAAUUGGAACAAUAUAGAGAUUAGAAUGGCCCCUGCAUAAGGAUGACAAAUUUGUGAAGCAUUCCAUAUUUUU
rnacentral:snRNA from 1 species